GACGAACGCUGGCGGCGUGCUUAACACAUGCAAGUCGUACGGUAAGGCCCUUUCGGGGGUACACGAGUGGCGAACGGGUGAGUAACACGUGAGUAACCUGCCCACAACUUUGGGAUAACGCUAGGAAACUGGUGCUAAUACUGGAUAUGUGCUCCUGCUGCAUGGUGGGGGUUGGAAAGCUCCGGCGGUUGUGGAUGGACUCGCGGCCUAUCAGCUUGUUGGUGGGGUAGUGGCCUACCAAGGCGGCGACGGGUAGCCGGCCUGAGAGGGUGACCGGCCACAUUGGGACUGAGAUACAGCCCAGACUCCUACGGGAGGCAGCAGUGGGGAAUAUUGCACAAUGGGCGCAAGCCUGAUGCAGCAACGCCGCGUGCGGGAUGACGGCCUUCGGGUUGUAAACCGCUUUCAGCAGGGACGAAGCUUUUUGUGACGGUACCUGCAGAAGAAGCACCGGCUAACUACGUG
rnacentral:rRNA from 1 species